UGCUAAACCAGUUUUGAGUCAUAUAUAUAUAUAUAUAUAUAUAUAUAUAUAUAUAUAUAUAUGGUUCACUGCUGUAGCAUC